rnacentral:lncRNA from 1 species
UUCAAGUUUCUUUUCCAACCUCUGACUAUUUUCUUCUGCUUUUCUGUUAUUUUCUUCUAACUUGUCUUCCAUCUUUUGACUAUUUUCUUCUAAUUUUUCUUCUACCCUUUGACUAUUUUCUUCUAAUUUUUGUUCUACUUUUUGACUAUUUUCUACUAAUUUUUCUUCUAAUGAUUUACUAUUUCCCUCUAAUUUAUUUCCCAUUUUCUUGUUGUUUUCAUCUAAGUGAAUUAAUUUUCUUUCUAUUUUAUUAUUAUUUUCUUCUAUUUUUGUUAAUAUUAACUCCAUGAAUUUUUCAAGGUCAGACUUUUCUUGUUUCUGUUCCUCUUCUUCCUUUGUCGUCUUCGAAACAGAUCUACGUCCAUCUGCCAUUUUGUAAAAUAUAUCAGACUCAAAAUUUUAAUAUUGAUUAUUUAAUAUGUGACUAUUUUGCCCUAUAUUUAUCUUAUCGUUCCACGUUGGUUGCGCCAAUUAUUAUAUAUUUCGUGGGGCCAAUUAUUAUAGAAGUUAUUUUAUUUUAUUUAUUUUUAUUAUUAAUUAUUUUAUUUAAUUUAUUUAAUUUAAUUAUAUUUUAUUAUUAUAGAAUUAUGUUUAUUUAUUUUUAUUUAUUUAUAGAAUUUUUUUAAAUAUUCUGAUUUAAUAAUUGAUUUUAAUAUUGAUUUUGCCCGGCGCCAUCUAUUAAUCACUUACCUUACUAGCUCAGUUAUAAAGUGAAUUCUGCAUGAGAUCUCCUAUCUGUGGAGGUGUGAGAAAAGAUUUCUGAAAUAUCAACUAAACAAACGACACAAAAAUACAGCUAUAUGAAAUGGUUGAUAAAUAACAAAAGACUGUCGAAUAUUGUACACGAAUUUGGAAAUAUAUUGAAAAUAAAGGCUUUGUUAUGCAACAUCAAAAAUACAAGGUUAUCUAGUCGAAAGUCUGAAGGAAGAAAUAUGAUGCAAUGAAUUUAACUAUAUAAAAAAAAAUAAAAGUAUUUGACAAAAAUUUAAGUCGAAGAUAACCCAAAAUUAUCUUGAAUAUUCAAAAUUUGUUAUAUUAAAGCUAGAAAAUGAAAAACAUUGACUUUAGAUCAUGAUCAAUUAAAAAUAUAAACUGUUCAGUACAACCUUUCACGAUGUAAUAUGAAGAUAAACCAAACUGCUAUGAAGUCUCUUCGGAUCCAAGACGAAACCAACUCCUUCUAUUUCACUGGAACAAUGUUCUAAAUCUGGUAGAUACCCGCAUCACAAUACUUUUUCACUUUUCUUAUAAAGUUGAGGGUCAUUUUUGAAAAUUUUUUCUUCACCAUGAAGAUUAUUUAUACAGAUUAAUGUCUAUUUCAACAUAAUUUCACAAAUCUAUACAUGCAGCUAAAUGAUGCAAGACGUAUCACCUUAACGAAGUUCCUUUCGAAGUGACUUUUGGAAACAUGGAACCUUUUGAUGAUUCUUACGAACAAAUAAGGCUAUUGUAUGAUAAAAAUAGAAGUAAUUCUCAGGUAAAACUCAAAAUUCAAAUUAUUAUAUAUUCUAUUUACUAAUUUCUAAUUUAUAUGUCAUUGAAAUAUCAUCUUUGAUAUAGGAUUACCUAUUUUGAUUUCUUAUGUAAUUCUACCUUUAUACACUUAAAUAAAACCAUCUUAUAAC